rnacentral:rRNA from 1 species
CCUACGGGCGGCAGCAGUGGGGAAUAUUGCACAAUGGGGGAAACCCUGAUGCAGCGACGCCGCGUGAAGGAAGAAGUAUUUCGGUAUGUAAACUUCUAUCAGCAGGGAAGAAAAUGACGGUACCUGACUAAGAAGCCCCGGCUAACUACGUGCCAGCAGCCGCGGUAAUACGUAGGGGGCAAGCGUUAUCCGGAUUUACUGGGUGUAAAGGGUGCGUAGGCGGUUUAGCAAGUCAGAAGUGAAAGCCCGGGGCUCAACUCCGGGACUGCUUUUGAAACUGUUGAACUAGUUUGCAGGAGAGGUAAGUGGAAUUCCUAGUGUAGCGGUGAAAUGCGUAGAUAUUAGGAGGAACACCAGUGGCGAAGGCGGCUUACUGGACUGUAAAUGACGCUGAGGCUCGAAAGCGUGGGGAGCAAACAGGAUUAGAUACCCCUGUAGUC